UACGUAGGGGGCAAGCGUUGUCCGGAUUUAUUGGGCGUAAAGAGCGUGUAGGCGGUUUGGUAGGUCCGCUGUGAAAACCCGAGGCUCAACCUCGGGCCUGCAGUGGGUACGGGCAGACUAGAGUGCGGUAGGGGAGAUUGGAAUUCCUGGUGUAGCGGUGGAAUGCGCAGAUAUCAGGAGGAACACCGAUGGCGAAGGCAGAUCUCUGGGCCGUAACUGACGCUGAGGAGCGAAAGCGUGGGGAGCGAACAGG
rnacentral:rRNA from 1 species